UUAACGGCCCUUUUCAGGGCCACCAACUCGAUAAAGAGCUAGAAU
rfam:Daphnia magna strain Xinb3 scaffold01581, whole genome shotgun sequence.